UAGUUUAUUUUAACUGUGAACCCCAUCUUCCUGUGAUCCCAGCAUAGGAUAUCCUGAAGGCCAUUGGAAUGAGCAACCUCUACCUCUGACCUACAGCUUUUCAAACAUUUUCAUUUUGAGACAGAAUCUCAUGAGUUUACCCAGACUGACCUCAAACGUGUGAUUUACCAGCUUCAGUUUCUUCGGAUGAACUUUCUUCCUAAUGGAAGAUACCCAGCAGAUGGAUAUCUGGAUCAAAUG